rnacentral:lncRNA from 1 species
UGACAUGUCAUAUUUCAUACAUUUGAUUCAGGUGGGUUUUGAACUCCCAAUUUUACCCCAAAUACAGAUUGCAGAAUCACGUCGGUUACACAUCUACAUUUUUACAUAAUGCCCUAUUAGUAAUUGUUGUAUUCUGCUACCUUUCCUAUCCUCUACUAUCUCCCCUCCCCUCCCCUCCCAUCUUCUCUCUCUACCCCAUCUACUGUAAUUCAUUUCUCUCCUUGUUUAUUUUCCCA